ACGAUGAACCACUUCGGUGGGGAUUAGUGGCGAACGGGUGAGUAACACGUGGGCAAUCUGCCCUGCACUCUGGGACAAGCCCUGGAAACGGGGUCUAAUACCGGAUACUGAUUGUCUUGGGCAUCCUUGAUGAUCGAAAGCUCCGGCGGUGCAGGAUGAGCCCGCGGCCUAUCAGCUUGUUGGUGAGGUAACGGCUCACCAAGGCGACGACGGGUAGCCGGCCUGAGAGGGCGACCGGCCACACUGGGACUGAGACACGGCCCAGACUCCUACGGGAGGCAGCAGUGGGGAAUAUUGCACAAUGGGCGAAAGCCUGAUGCAGCGACGCCGCGUGAGGGAUGACGGCCUUCGGGUUGUAAACCUCUUUCAGCAGGGAAGAAGCGAAAGUGACGGUACCUGCAGAAGAAGCGCCGGCUAACUACGUGCCAGCAGCCGCGGUAAUACGUAGGGCGCAAGCGUUGUCCGGAAUUAUUGGGCGUAAAGAGCUCGUAGGCGGCUUGUCGCGUCGGUUGUGAAAGCCCGGGGCUUAACCCCGGGUCUGCAGUCGAUACGGGCAGGCUAGAGUUCGGUAGGGGAGAUCGGAAUUCCUGGUGUAGCGGUGAAAUGCGCAGAUAUCAUGAGG
rnacentral:rRNA from 1 species